UCUUUCAACCUGCAUUGCUUUCUCUGUCUGACUACUUGCAUUGCUUUCUAUAUGGACUUGCAUUUCUUUCUAUUGUGAGUCACAAAUUUUGGGUUCAAACCAUAAGGAGGUUUCAAGAAAUUUUUACAUUGGGUCAUUUGUUGUUUGAGCCAUUUGUGUUGGGGGUCACAUAUAGGUGCAUGACACAAAAAAAAAAAUGAAUUAACAGAGGUGCAUAAUACGAACCGUUACGACAGAGAGAACAAAGGGCAGAUGAGGACGACGUGUAUGUGAGCGACAAGGGCAGAAAGACAAGGCCUUCAAGUGUAGGUACGAGGGUUUCAAAGGUGGACUGGACUAGGGUUUGGCAGCUGCAGCACCAACUAGGUCACAUUGCUCUUUUUGUUCAUCUGCUACAGAAUGUAAUGAUGUACACAUUUGGCCACAGGAGGAGGUUACUCAUGUAUGUAGCAUAACGUAGCCAAGAGGUUGCACUUUUCCAUCUCUUGUCAGACGAUGUUAUGGAGGACAUCCUACAAAGUCUCAUUCCUCGGUGGACCGUAGCACAUGGGUGGCAUGUGCACAUGUACAAAUAAUACGAUAGGAAUACGAGGUAUGUCAUGCACAUAGAUGAUGUGGGGUCCUUAUGGGAAAUGAUAUUAAUGAGUGACUAUGGCCUAUACAUUUGGCCCUUUUGGAUUGGCCAGUUGCUCUCCCAUGGGUCACCUCAUGUGCCUUCCCAAAGACAAUAGGCGAGGAGGACAUGUCCCACUACCACAUCUCGAUGAUGAUAUUGAGUAUGUCACCCAACAUUUUCCUUUGAAUCUAUUGCUCAUGGACUAUAGAUGCCUCUUCAUGAGAUAUGUCAGUCCUUGCCUACCGCCAAGGUUUACUAGGAUUCAUAGUAGAAUUCCGUCACAUAGGAGGUCUUUUCCAUGAAAAUGUACAAUAGUCGUUGUAUGACUAUUGCGCCACUUUUUUUUGUUGUCCCUAUAUAUGACUUUGGUUUUUAUAAAACAAUGAAAUUUUUGUUUACAGAGUUGAGAUUAGUUCAUCUUUUGAAUAUUUUGAAAGUAGACCAUUAAUGCAAAAA